GGCAGAUAUCACCUCGAGAUGCCAGAUGGAAGAAAUGUGAGGGCUUUGUCCCUCUGUCAACAGAUAAGUCACUCAGCACAACCUGUUGACAACUAGGAAGCAGUGCCCAUUACCAUCCUUGGAGAUGUCACCAGUUGGCUGAGGGUGAAACUGAUAUUAGAGUGAAGCUCUGCAAGAUCCAUUCUGGAAUUGUGUUUGUGAUCUGGAUGGCAGCCACCAGCCAGUAUCAGCACUUCCCAGAACUGCUCUGAAGUGGGCAGUGGAAGAAAUGACAGCUGACGUCAGCGCACACACACCUGCCCCCACUCUGUAUGUAUAUGUGUAUGCGUGUUUCUCUGUCUCUCUGUCUUUCUGUCUCUUUGUCUCUCUCUCUCUCUCUUUGUGUACAUUUCUCUCUCUCCUGUAUCCAUUCCUCUGUUGAGGGGCAUCUGGGUUCUUUCCAG
rnacentral:lncRNA from 1 species